AACGAACGCUGGCGGCAGGCUUAACACAUGCAAGUCGAGCGCCCCGCAAGGGGAGCGGCAGACGGGUGAGUAACGCGUGGGAACGUACCUUUUGGUUCGGAACAACUCCGGGAAACUGGAGCUAAUACCGGACAAGCCCUAACGGGGAAAGAUUUAUCGCCGAAAGAUCGGCCCGCGUCUGAUUAGCGAGUUGGUGAGGUAACGGCUCACCAAGGCGACGAUCAGUAGCUGGUCUGAGAGGAUGAGCAGCCACACUGGGACUGAGACACGGCCCAGACUCCUACGGGAGGCAGCAGUGGGGAAUAUUGGACAAUGGGCGCAAGCCUGAUCCAGCCAUGCCGCGUGAGUGAUGAAGGCCUUAGGGUUGUAAAGCUCUUUUGUCCGGGAAGAUAAUGACUGUACCGGAAGAAUAAGCCCCGGCUAACUUCGUG
rnacentral:rRNA from 1 species